CCCAGACUCCUACGGGAGGCAGCAGUGGGGAAUAUUGCACAAUGGGGGGAACCCUGAUGCAGCGACGCCGCGUGGGUGAAGGAGCGUUUCGGCGCGUAAAGCCCUAUCGGCAGGGAAGAAGGAGGACGGUACCUGACUAAGAAGCCCCGGCUAACUACGUGCCAGCAGCCGCGGUAAUACGUAGGGGGCAAGCGUUAUCCGGAUUUACUGGGUGUAAAGGGGGCGCAGACGGCAGCGCAAGCCAGGAGUGAAAGCCCGGGGCCCAACCCCGGGACUGCUCUUGGAACUGCGCGGCUGGAGUGCAGGAGGGGCAGGCGGAAUUCCUGGUGUAGCGGUGAAAUGCGUAGAUAUCAGGAGGAACACCGGUGGCGAAGGCGGCCUGCUGGACUGCGACUGACGUUGAGGCCCGAAAGCGUGGGGAGCAAACAGGAUUAGAUACCCUAGUAUU
rnacentral:rRNA from 1 species